rnacentral:lncRNA from 1 species
AGAUCUCAGUGUGCUCCCAGCUGUGUGUCAGUUAUUAGGUCCAUCAGGCCUCAGUGGGGGACUGCAGUGUGUUGAACACCAGCUGGACAAUAGCAGCCAAGGCCUUGCCAUGAAGUCACCCAUGGGGAUCAGCCUCAGUGAGGCCGCUUCUUCCUGUAAAUAUUUCCUUUCCUGAAGUGCUUUGAAGGAGAAGAGGCAUUUCUCUGAGACCAGUGGGUCAGCAGGUAGCACCAAGUGAAGACUGGAGAGACAAAGUUUAUCUCCGCUCCAGAGAAAACUGUUAAAUAAGGUGUUGUGCAGGGGGACAAGCACCACAAGAGGAUGCAAAGAGCACAUGGAGGGAGAAAGGAAGCAAAGAAACAGCAGCGAGCAUAAGGAUGUCUGAAGGUUUGGCUCAAGUCCUCAGCAGCAUUGCUCUUGCUUAAUGUGAAACUUGGAAGCAACCCUGGGUAAACAAGCCAGGCUAAUAUUCUACAGGCUGAUCAUAACUACUUGAAGGAGAAGAGCACCUGUCUUGGCAGUAUAACCCAACCUGAAGCUCAGAGACUGAGGAACAAUUCCACCCACUAACACGGAAUUUGAAACAGCAGCCUCCACAGCCUCUACUUUCAUGUUCACCACUUAUCUGAUGAUAGAUUUUCAGUUUGUGAUUUCUCCAUCUCUGGUGUCUCCAAAACCACAUUGAUUGCCAGAAACUAUUUAUGUUGUUGUUGUUGUUUUUACAUCUCAUAUCCUAGUAAUUAAUCCUAAUGAGAUAUAGUUCCAAUUGUUUACUUAGAUUUUUGGACUUAGCAACUCUUAAGCU